rnacentral:rRNA from 1 species
AAAAUGACUCUCGGCAAUGGAUAUCUCGGCUCUCGCAUCGAUGAAGAGCGCAGCGAAAUGCGAUACGUGGUGCGAAUUGCAGAAUCCCGCGAACCAUCGAGAAUUUGAACGCAAGUUGCGCCCGAGGCCAGUUGGCCAAGGGCACGUCCGCCUGGGCGUCAAGCGUUGCGUCGCUCCGUGCCAGCUCCAUCCCACCCAAGAGGUGUGCAUGCAGAUUGGUCGGAUGUGUAGAGUGGCUCGUCGUGCCUGCGGACGCGGCGGGCUGAAGAGCGGGUGAUCGUCU